CUUUGAGCACUGAAAAUCAACUCCUGCAGCAACUGAUGAAGCUGUUUAUUCUGAAGUUAAACCAGGAACAUCUCUUGGUCAGUAAAGACAGCUGUAUGGACAAGGCCAAAUAAAUAUGGUUAACAACAUUUUAUAUAACCAUUGUGUGCAACUCUGCUAUCCAAAUAUCAGCGAUGCUCAAUGUUUUGUACAGUUAAUGUAAUAGCAGAUGAUAUAAAAUACUUACAUCAUGUGGAUUUAAUACUCUCUUUUUUAGCAGAAAGUACAAGACUACUGAGGUUUAUUCCCAUUUAGUAUUUAUACACUGUAGUAUUAUUAUUUUUAUUUUUACAGUUAUUUUGUCACUUUA